UGGCUCAGUGGUAGAGCGCUUGCCUUGCAUGCAUGAGGCACUGGGUUCGAUUCCUCAG
rnacentral:tRNA from 1 species